AAAUUACUACUGCCAUUUCAUUUUGAAGUUCCAAUAUUUCAAUCUGUAGAUUUCAUCAUCGAAUUUUGGGUAAAUCAACUAAUCGAGAAAAAUCAGUAUGAGGACGACACGGAGGCCGAUCCAAGUCGUGUCGACAUGGGUCCGCCGGCAACCGCCUAAGGUCAAGGCUUUUCUGGCCGUCAUUACCGGUAUGGCGGCGUUGGUCUUGCUACGCGCCAUCGUCCACGAUCACGAUAACCUCUUCGUCGCCGCUGAAGCUGUUCAUUCAAUUGGAAUCUCCGUUCUCAUCUACAAGCUCAUGAAAGAAAAAACUUGUGCCGGUCUUUCACUCAAAUCCCAGGAGCUCACUGCUAUGUUUUUGGCUGUUAGGCUGUAUUGCAGUUUUGUCAUGGAAUAUGAUAUACACACCUUACUUGAUUUAGCUACGUUAGCUACAACCUUGUGGGUUAUUUAUAUGAUCCGGUUUAAUCUUAGAUCAAGUUACAUGGAGGACAAAGACAAUUUUUUAAUCUAUUACGUGGUGAUCCCUUGUGCUGCCUUAGCUUUACUAAUUCAUCCAUCUACAUCACAUCUCUUCGUCAAUAGAGUCUUCUGGGCGUUCUGUGUUUACUUGGAGGCAGUUUCUGUGCUACCUCAACUUCGUGUUAUGCAAAACACUAAGAUAGUUGAACCAUUCACAGCUCAUUAUGUAUUUGCAUUGGGU
rnacentral:misc_RNA from 1 species